GGAUAGUCUGCAUAGCCUCCCAGACAUGGCACAGUGUCAAGUCAUUUCAAAACCUCUUCUAAAUAGCUUCCAAUCACUGUCACACCAAAACAAGGACUGGAUUCUAAAGCUGCCAGCCUUGGUACUAGCCAAGUAGACUGUUUAUAGAAAGAUUUGAAUGGCUUCAAAUAAACACGAUUUAAUGUGCAAUAACUGCAUAUGGGUUUUAACAAAUAAUUAUUACAAACAACUGCUGUUUGUUUGCUUCGUUGCUUCUUCUAAUACUUACACCCAAAGGAUGUCCACCCACAAUAUCUUAAAGAUAAACGCAUCAUUUAUAAAAAAUAAAAAAAAUUAAUAAG